rnacentral:rRNA from 1 species
ACCUACGGGGGGCAGCAGUGGGGAAUAUUGCGCAAUGGGCGAAAGCCUGACGCAGCAACGCCGCGUGGGGGAUGAAGGUUCUCGGAUUGUAAACCCCUUUCGACCGGAACGAAUCCCCUCCUGGUGAACAAUCAGGAGGGUCGACGGUACCGGGAGAAGAAGCCACGGCUAACUCUGUGCCAGCAGCCGCGGUAAGACAGAGGUGGCUAGCGUUGUUCGGAUUUAUUGGGCGUAAAGCGCACGCAGGCGGUUUGGUAAGUCAGAGGUGAAAUUCCGCAGCUUAACUGCGGAACUGCCUUUGAUACUGCCUUUCUCGAGUGCAUGAGGGGGAAGCGGAAUUCCGGGUGUAGAGGUGAAAUUCGUAGAUAUCCGGAGGAACACCGGUGGCGAAGGCGGCUUCCUGGCAUGUAACUGACGCUCAGGUGCGAAAGCGUGGGUAGCAAACAGGAUUAGAUACCCCGGUAGU